rnacentral:rRNA from 1 species
GAUGAACGCUGGCGGCGUGCCUAAUACAUGCAAGUCGAGCGAACGGACGAGAAGCUUGCUCCUCUGAUGUUAGCGGCGGACGGGUGAGUAACAUGUGGAUAACCUACCUAUAAGACUGGGAUAAUUUCGGGAAACCGUAGCUUAUACCGGAUAAUAUUUUGAACCGCAUGGUUCAAAAGUGAAAGACGGUCUUGCUGUCACUUAUAGAUGGAAACGCGCUGCAUUAGCUAGUUGGUAAGGUAACGGCUUACCAAGGCAACGAUGCAUAGCCGACCUAAGAGGGUGAUCGGCAACUGUGGAGCUGGGACGCGCUGCAGAAUCCGACGGGAGGCAGCGGCAGGAAAUCUACGGCAAGGAGCGGAAGCGUGAAGUAGCAACGGGGCGUGAGUGAUGAAGGGCUACGGAUCGUAAGACUUUGUUAUUAGAGAAGAGCAUAGGUGUAAGUAACGGUACGCUAAUGAACGGUACCGAAUCAGAAGGCCACGGUUAACUCGGG